rnacentral:rRNA from 1 species
UACAGAGGUCUCAAGCGUUGUUCGGAUUCAUUGGGCGUAAAGGGUGCGUAGGCGGCGCGGUAAGUCGGGUGUGAAAUCUCGGAGCUUAACUCCGAAACUGCAUUCGAUACUGCCGUGCUUGAGGACUGGAGAGGAGACUGGAAUUUACGGUGUAGCGGUGAAAUGCGUAGAGAUCGGGAGGAACACCAGAGGCGAAGGCGGCGACCUGGACAGGCACUGACACUCAACUGCGAAAGCGUGGGGAGCAAACAGG